GGAGUGUAGUGAUGUUUACAAUUAAUUGAUCACAGCUGGUUACAGAUUUCUUUAUUCCACCUUCACGUCAGCACUGCUUCACUUGAGUAGCCUUAG
rnacentral:sRNA from 1 species